rnacentral:miRNA from 1 species
AAAGAUGUGCAUGUAGUUCCG